rnacentral:lncRNA from 1 species
CGAUGUGGGACGUCAUUAGAUUCGGCCUCCCUCCGCAUCGCAUCACCAGUUGUCUCUGCCCCCGCCAAUGGCUCAUACGUUCGCCUCAGGUAUAUCUAUCUGGUUAAUUUUCGCACACUGCAUCUGCUAUUUCAUCUUCCACACAUAGCGUCCUCAGAUUUUUGCUAGCUUUAUGAAUCUGAUUGAUUCCCAACUCAAUUGCUAACUAGUGUCGAUUUCAAGCAAGCUUGCAGUUCAAUCUAACCAUAUUAUGUGAUCUAAUGUGCUGUCCAUAAUGCUAGCUUCAUCCAAGAUCCUCCAAACUCGGCCGAAGGAACAGCCCAGGAUAACUUCUGUAUCUAAAUAGGGGCACCCCACUAUCUGAUUUUCCUGAAUCCUCAUGAAGCCACGUCAUCCGAAUUCUCAUAGCCGUUGAUGCAGUAUAGUUCAACAUCCUGCAGCCGUCUGAUCAUGUUUGGAUGCAAUUUACCGAGACUUGCCACCGCUAAGUGGAAAAUAACGAUUGGUCGAUUUACCACAGCGCCCCUCUUAUUCUUCGAUCGCACUGUCCGCUCAAGUUUUCGUACUGGGCUCAUAUCAAAAAGUUUUCGUACUAGGCUAGAGCUGGACCUGUCGCUUCUGGGCUGGCUCUGGAAGCCAACAUAUGGUACAUGGGCUGUAGCCCAUGCGUGCUAGGUUCCCAUGAGUACGGUCAUCUUCCCCACGUUGCCAAUCUCAUCCCCGUCGUUAUCUCUUCCGCCACCACAAAUAUAGCUAAAAAUGCAGAUGAAACUGCAGCAUUAAUCAACCACAUUACCAUCCCUCCGUUACCCUAGAACAGCUGAAGAAUCGCUAGAUUUAACUGAGCAAACAACGCCUUUGUGUUUCAGUGCUACAAAUCCUCCUCCAAGACCGUCGAUUAAUGGGUCACAGGUCGGGCCGCGGUACAAUCGCCGAGCACCCAGAUCUUCGAGGAAGACAUUGCCGAGACAACCUGCGCCCGUCGUUGCUCUCCUCCAGACCUCCUCUGCCACGCCCACCAGUCCGCCUCACCCCCAAUUUUUUUCUGAUUAAUGGGAGGUUUGCUGCUGGUCCGUCGUGCCGACCAACUGCCCCUGCUCUCCUUCGAACCUCCUCCGCCAUGAUUGCCACUACGUAUUGCCCCUUAAUGUUUCUAUGAGUGUUGGGACGCGGGCUGGACAGCCGAUCCUUGGCCGGAGAUCCUAGAUCGUCAAGCAAGGCACAGUCGUUGAGUCCUUUGCAUGUCGUUGCUCCGCUCCGAAGCUGUCGGGGGCAGCGAGAAGCCCGACUAAAUCAUCAAAGGCGAAUUCCAUAGGGACUUAAGAGAGUCCACCUUUGGGACGGCCACAUCAGCUUAUAAGGUGAGCAUCCCUGCGCUUACGUUCAUCUAUGAGAUGAUGAAUAACACUCUUUGACAUGCUUCUGUGUGGCCUAUCGUUUAGAUUCGGCCUUUGGAGUUACUUCCCACUACCCACACGGCAGUCUGCACCAUCUGAUGCUACCACGUUGCACGCCUCAAUACUCCCCGGUCCAGGUGCGUGCAUGCACUUCACCAGGUUACCUUUUAAGGGCAUCUCCGGCCGUUAAACCGCGCACUGGGGGCGUGAUGCCCCCAGUCGCGGCGCCCACGGUUAGUCAAAAAAGUCAAAUACGGCGCAAAAACGACUCAAAUUUAACGCAAACAUUGGCGAGUUCAUUCAAACUUAAACAUAUUUUACAAAAAAGAAAAAAAACUACCGCGGGCUACCCCCGCCGUCUCCCUCGCCGCCUGCCCACGCGGUUCUACAUGCCGAGGAGGCGGUAGAACCGCGUGUAGUUGUCGUCAUCGUCGUCGUCGUCGCCGCCGCCUCCGCCGUCCUUGCUGCAUCCCUCCCCCGGUUGGAGCGGCGGGUUGGACGGUCCGGGGGCGUCGUCGUCGUCGUCGCUGUCGAGGACCACGACGCUGUGCUCGUCCUCACGCCCACGCUUGCGGGCGGCGAGCUCCUCCAGGGCCCGGCGCUGUCGGACCAUCUCGUCGCGGAGGUAGUCGUCCCGCGCCCACCGCAUGGCGUCCUCGUCGGAGAAGCCGCAUCGGGCUAUCUCCUCGUACUCCGCGGGGAGGACGGGCUCCGGCUUGGCCUCGGCGAGGACGAAGCGGCCGGUUGGUGAAGAGGCGUUGGCGCCGCCGGAGCUGCGGGUGCGCGCGCUGACCGGCGUGUCCUGGGGCUCCGGCUUGACAGGGCGGAGGCAGGGCGAGCCGCCGGACGAGGAGGAAGACCCCCCGGUCUCCAUGCGCCUCGGGGUCCAGGAGCUUCCCCGGCGGCGUGAGAAGGAAGGGGGAGCGGGGUACUCCAGGCGCGGCGUGUUGCCGCCCUCGAUGUACUCGAGGACGGCCUCCAACGUGCGCCCGGGCACACCCAACCACAGACGCCGGCCGGCGGCGUUGAGCCUGCCGGAGGGCACGACGCCGUUGGUGGCCUCGAGCUGCUCGGACUGACGGCGGCGGAAGUAAGGUUCCCAGAGCGGGCUGUCGGGGGCGUACCGUGGCGCCUCCCUCGCCGCACGCGGCAGGUUCGAGCGGAUGCGUGCGAUCUCCGCACGCCGCGCCGCGCCGGUCGGUACCGGGUGCACCGGCACGCCGCCCGCGCUGAUCCUCCACGUCCCGGGCACCCGCAUGUCCGGCGGGACCGGGUACUCGGCCUCGUAAAGGAGGCGAGCCUCGUCUUCGUGAAGAUGGCGGCGGCCGAAGCCGUUCGCCGCCGCGCCGUCGCCUGGGAAGCGCUCGGCCAUGGGUGUGAACUGGGGACGGCGAAAGAGAGGAGAGGAGAGGGAGGAAACGACGGCGGCGGGAGAGUGUGAGUCGCCGAGUGCGCCGGGGCGCUUCAUAUAUAGGCCAAGGCGCGCGUGUCACCGUGUGUACGCGUGGCGGGCGAGGGAGGGCGAGGGACGCGCGUCGUCCGGUCUUCACUGCGCUGCCCGUGAGGCAUCAAUGGUGCAGGCUGACCGGCGCGGCAGCGCGGCAGCUUUGGCAUUGAUUCGCCGCGGGAAACGAGGCGAUGAGGACGACGAAGGGCCGAGAAGAGAGCCGUGUCGCUGACGCAGCGGGCCCGCGGCUUUUUCGCGCCAAAACAGUUCGCCCGGCGCCCCCGGGCGCCCCCCAGCGCGCCGGGUUCGGGCUGGGUCCACCGGCGCUGUUUUCGGCCCAAGCCGGCGAAAAUCGGGCUCCUGGGGGCGCGACUUGGCCGUUUUUUUAGCGCCGGCGCGAAAAAAACGUCUGGGGAGGCCUUCCUGGGGGCGCGGCUGGAGAUUCCCUAACUUGGAGUAUAUAUGUUCUUAGAUACAUGUACUCUUCUCAAUAGGUCAUUAUAUACCAACUGAAAUUUUAAUGGAUGCUAAAUUAUUAUCGCGCACAUCUAUGUUGUGACCUUUUCUCUAUGUGAUUUUGAUUUCUUUGCUCACUUCAUGCAUUGGCACAAUGCACCCUGUUUUUCCCUGCAGUUUUUUCUUACUGUUAUUUGUUCAUAGCGGAGUGUGGCAAAAAUAUCAAUACAUACACUGUUUUGUUGCUCAGAUCAAGAAGCUGAGGUCAGUGUUUUGAAUUAAAAAUAAAUUGUUUCAUCUUUAUAUUGAGGUUUAAGUUUAUUGUUUGCACCUUAUAAUACUUAAAUAUGCUAUUGGUUGUUGAAUAUAAGAUUAGUUUGCAUCCAUGAAGAGGGCAUAUUUCACAAGCAGACAUAAUUAACAUUUAUGGAAAAAGUCAUUUAUCAUGUCUUUUGUCGCAAAGGUGACCCAUUCAUUAUUUGUUUGUGAGACUCCAUAUUUCAGGUGAGAAUUUUGUUUCCCACUAAUUUGUUGGACUGCUCAAUGGACAUAUGGAGACUUUGUUCCACUAUUAUUUUGGAAGAUGCUCUAUGGAAUUUUAGUGUUCAGUGCAACCUCUCAAUGUUUUAGUAUAUAGUGUUUCACUUAGUUUUGUUAUACCACUUUUACAUAAAAUAUAUUAUUGUUGGUCCACUUUUUUUGUAAUAUGAUAGUUGUAAAUGUAAACAUAGCCAUUUUGUGGUUAAUAGUUACAAAUUAAUUGUGGUGAUCGGUUGUAUUAAUUCCAAAAUUCUAAUUGGAAAGUUUGCUCUCUAAUAUGUAAUGUUUUUUUCUCCCAGUAAUGAGGAUGAUUUUCAUAUAGACUGCUAGGGAUCAAGACAAAUUGUAACAUUGAGCCAAAUUUUAUGAGUAUUCGAACCACCUUUUGAUCUAGAUGCUUCAGUGUUAUUUCCUUUAUAUUAGAGACUUUACACAUGAGAAUCAUUUUGCGCCACGACAAUCCACCGGCCAACUAGCAAUUUUUUUAAAUAUUCAUUCCAUGUAACUACUUUUUCUAGACCUUUCUGCGUGUAAUUCUAUAAAUAGGUAUAUUUAUAUUCCUUUCCGCAGCAACGCGCGGGGUAUCACCUAGUUUAAUGAAUUACUGUCCACCAGUUCCCCUCCAAUGAGAUGGCUGAAUUCUUGUAGGUAUGCCACCUCGUCUCCUUAAUAACCACCAGUUACGUAUUCACCAGGUACUAGUAAGUAUAGUACGUGGACACAAAUUUAUGGUGUAGUCCCCAGCUAGUCUGUCUGAUUUAUUUUUGUGUCUCAAAUCCUAGCUCGUCACACAGUGCACACCAAUCUGAUUGAUUUCUCAAUGCUAUGUGCCAUGUGUUGAAAUAGGUUUGAUUCUCCCAGCUAUUCUAACAGUACUGCCCACGAGAGAAUUCUCAGCUACUCUCAUUGAUUUCUAAAUCUAUUUUGGCCCAGUUUAGCAUAUUUCAAGUAGUAGCUUUGGAUCAUCAUUCAGAGAUGAUUCGUUAUAGAACUACCUAGUUUGCAGUAACAACACUACAUUAUACAUGAUAAUCAUACCAUUGAUACAAGUGCAGGUUAUUGGAGCAUGGGUUGUUAUCUCCAGAGACAGCAAAGAAAGCUUAUGACAAGAUAACAUAAUAAAUCACACAGUGUGGAGUAUGGUGCAAAUGCAAAGGGAAGAGUCGAUUACAAUGAAGACGAGGAUGACGGUAAUGACUUUAUCAAUAAACUCAACAAUGAUCUUAGAUAUCUAAUUAAGAUUUAUUUUCAGCUGACUUGCAAAACCAAUGAAUCUGUUGUUCUCACUAUAUAUGUGUGUAUUGGAGUUCAAGCAAAAAAUAAACAAAUAUCUUUUUGUCAUGAUUGUGACCAUAUUAUUUCCAUAUACAUCUUGAUAAUGCUCUUGGUUGGUCUUUAGGGGCCCCAAGUAUGGUCAUCGAGGCAGAGUAAUGCUUGUUUUUGAAGAAAAUGGAUUGUUAAAAAAUUGGAGUCCUAUUUGACAAGCACAUCUCUGAUGGUAAUGAUCUUGGUUUGUGUCAGGAAGAUCUGACUUCUAUUCUGGUAAGCUUAUAAGGUGAUACCUCGGAGGCACUUAAUUUGUUUGUCACUCACUUGAUAUGGUUUUCUUAUCAGCAUAGUUAAAAUAACAUGGUGAAUAUUAUAAAGUAGUGUAUUGUAAAAUGUAAAAUUUUAGGUAAUAUUUACAUCAGCUACAGUUAAGGAGAACAGUUAAUACUAAAUUGUGACUCAUGCCUACCAAUAUGUUUACGUCUUUGCUGCAAAUUCUACCCCUAUUAUUGUGACAGGAUGAUAUGCAAGUCAUAUUUCAAGAAGUUAGGAUGGACAAAUAAGGACCACGAAGACUCUAGCUGCCUUCAAGAAGUCAGGAUACGAGGCCUUCAGCAAAUGUACCCUCAAUAAAGAGGAGAGCUAUACAAUUAUGUUCGGGGGUCAAGACUCAAGAAAACACUCAUUUGUUAAUUUAUUUCUCUAUUGAUGCUACAUGUUGCAUCAGGAUGCUAUGUGGAAUGUGUACUAUGAAUCGUGAUAUGGAAUUAGCAUUGAUGUUUACUGAAAAUAUAUUCUGUUGG